CAGUCGCCGCGGUAAUACGUAGGGUGCAAGCGUUGUCCGGAAUUAUUGGGCGUAAAGAGCUCGUAGGCGGUUUGUCGCGUCUGCUGUGAGAUCCCGAGGCUCAACCUCGGGCUUGCAGUGGGUACGGGCAGACUAGAGUGCGGUAGGGGAGAUUGGAAUUCCUGGUGUAGCGGUGGAAUGCGCAGAUAUCAGGAGGAACACCGAUGGCGAAGGCAGAUCUCUGGGCCGUAACUGACGCUGAGGAGCGAAAGCGUGGGGAGCGAACAGGAUUAGAUACCCCUGUAGUCCCUGUCUCUUAUAC
rnacentral:rRNA from 1 species